AUGACGCCCCCAAGGGAGGAACAACACCAGAGCGCCGCCGUCAUUCGAUCAUCCGAUCUAGGGUUUCCCCCGGAGGUAGCAGAGAGUGGCCUUGAACUUCUCCACGGCAAUGCCUUCAAGAAGGGAACGGCGCAGAUAGCGCCGCCACCGCCGGCCUUAGCAAACGCCGAAGGCAAGUUUUCACCCAGAUCAGUUCGAAGGGAUCCAACUCUCGUGCACGGGCCGCCGUCACCACCAGCACCACCAGGUAGAACCCUGGAGCACCGGCAGAUCAGCGAGCCGCCGGCACCACCGAAUCCAGAUUGCCGGCCAUGCCGGGCCGCCGCCAUCCCCCGCGCCGUCCGGGUCAGAGACAGAGCCGCCGACCAUGCACAGGGACCACCGCCGCCUGCACACGCCGGAGCGUCGCCGAGAGCCCAGUGCCCGCCACCGCUUGCCGAGGGCCGCCGCCGCGCGCCCCAAGCAGACUCCCACGCACACCAGGGGAAACCGCGAGCGUGA
rnacentral:rRNA from 1 species